ACACUUGUGCUGGGCAUCUGAACACAAGGAGCAAGGAAUUCAUGCUUGAGUAGCUCCAUAGAUUCAACUGAUUGAACAGCUGAAUGAUAGCACAUUCUAAACCCAAUCUCUGUACAGUGCUGCCCAGAAACCAGAAAGCCAUUGUCCAUGCAACGUUUGACAAAAUAAUGUAAUGACAUAACACAUAACCUCUGGUAAUCCCCAAAUCAUAACUAUAUAAGAACACAGGUUACCUCUGAUGUGACUCACAGGUGUGUUCUACCUUAGAGAGAGACUCAUAGACCUCUGCGGGUUCCAGACCACCUGGGCCUAAUCUCUUCUGCUGCUGCUCCUACUCCUCCUCCUCCACCUCCUGCUUCUCCUCCUCCUGCUCCUACUCCUGCUUCUCCUCCCCCUCCUCCUUCUGCCGCUCCACCUCCUCCUCCUCCUGUUCCUUUUCCUCCUCCUGCUGCUCCUCCUCCUUCCUGCUCUGGAUAUGACACUAGUUGCAACCGGUCCUUCAGCUUGUACUGUCUGGACAAGCCAUACACACGCAUAUGCACACACACACACACACACACACGCACACACACACGCACGCACGCAAGCACACGCACAGCCACAAACAAGCACACACACUAAACGCAUAAACAAUCAAAUUCAUUCUCAAGUGAAAGUGAAAAUGCACGAACAAAAGCAAUAGGGUAAUCUGUUAUCCAGCAGUUCCUUCCCAGUUAUAGCAGCGCCUCAGUGGGGAAAGGGGAACAGAGCCAGGUCCGGAAACAGGAAACUGGAAGUGGCGGGGCUAUGCCGACUUCCUGUUUUGUGAAUCAUGUAAAAAAAAGAAGCAAACAACCAAAGAUAACCUAGCUAAAAAACAAGUAAAGAAAACUCAUUUGCACGAUUGGAUUCAGCUUUCAGAAGGGCUUUUAAUAAUUUCUACAGGAGCCAGUCUAAACUGUGUUGAUUUCAAACCUUUAGAGAUACUUUUUUUACAGUUUAAUACUGAUGGCCAAGGUCGUGUUCACCAAUUCUGCCCUUACAGAUUCCCGCUUCCAGCAACAUGAUUGGUCGAAACAAAUAUAUGGGCAAAACACAGUGACACGCCCCGUUCACCGUGAUUUGAGCUCGCCAUCAGACUUUAGAGAUUAAUCCUAAAUCUGAUAGUGUGGACUACAAUAAGAGCUCAUCCAAGACCUUCGGUCCAACCUUGAGAGUCAAAGCAGCGGAGGGCAGCCUCAGGGGGUUGACCUUCACACAUCUGGGUUAAAUUCUGAUCGGCUGUCCUAUACUAGAUGGCUGUACUAGACAUCCUGCCCAGAAAAAAGCCCAUAAAAGAUAUCCCUUAGAAAAAAAAGGAAAAUCCAGUGGACACGCCCACUGGGGAUGUCAGAAGAGGCAGAUUUUCAAAACGUUAACGUCUAAUCCCACUCACAACUGUUGGUAUAAUAUGUCAGCUUUUUAGACAGUUCAGCUCGCUGUAUAACUGUGGGCCAAUGGUGUUAGGCAGACCCUACUUCACUUAAACAAACCGGAUCAGCACUCCAGGGUACUCUCCGCUUUGAGCUGAGGGGAGACAAAGAACUACAUCAACACAACAAACAACUAGAUCAACACAAAAAACCGAGGCGUGUACGGGACAAACGUACAACUUUCAAGAAACACCUUACCAAAGUGCUGUUUCCCAUGCUUCUCCAGAAAGGUUUCUUCUCCCCGUCUUCAUCCGUCUCCU
ensembl:lncRNA